rnacentral:rRNA from 1 species
UACGUAGGGGGCAAGCGUUGUCCGGAUUUAUUGGGCGUAAAGAGCGUGUAGGCGGCUUUACAGGUCCGUUGUGAAAACUCGAGGCUCAACCUCGAGACGCCGGUGGAAACCGUAAAGCUAGAGUCCGGAAGAGGAGAGUGGAAUUCCUGGUGUAGCGGUGAAAUGCGCAGAUAUCAGGAAGAACACCCGUGGCGAAGGCGGCUCUCUGGGACGGUACUGACGCUGAGACGCGAAAGCGUGGGUAGCAAACAGG